rnacentral:rRNA from 1 species
CGAGUCUUAACCGGGCGUUAAGUUGCAGGGUAUAGACCCGAAACCCGGUGAUCUAGCCAUGGGCAGGUUGAAGGUUGGGUAACACUAACUGGAGGACCGAACCGACUAAUGUUGAAAAAUUAGCGGAUGACCUGUGGCUGGGGGUGAAAGGCCAAUCAAACCGGGAGAUAGCUGGUUCUCCCCGAAAGCUAUUUAGGUAGCGCCUCGUGAAUUCAUCUCCGGGGGUAGAGCACUGUUUCGGCUAGGGGGCCAUCCCGGCUUACCAACCCGAUGCAAACUGCGAAUACCGGAGAAUGUUAUCACGGGAGACACACGGCGGGUGCUAACGUCCGUCGUGAAGAGGGAAACAACCCAGACCGCCAGCUAAGGUCCCAAAGUCAUGGUUAAGUGGGAAACGAUGUGGGAAGGCCCAGACAGCCAGGAUGUUGGCUUAGAAGCAGCCAUCAUUUAAAGAAAGCGUAAUAGCUCACUGGUCGAGUCGGCCUGCGCGGAAGAUGUAACGGGGCUAAACCAUGCACCGAAGCUGCGGCAGCGACGCUUAUGCGUUGUUGGGUAGGGGAGCG